rnacentral:rRNA from 1 species
CGGACCGGCGCGACGGUGAGUAACGCGUAUGCAACUUACUAUCAGGAGGGGGAUAACCCGGCGAAAGUCGGACUAAUACCGCAUAAAGCAGGGAUCCCGCAUGGGAAUAUUUGCUAAAGAUUCAUCGCUGAUAGAUAGGCAUGCGUUCCAUUAGGCAGUUGGCGGGGUAACGGCCCACCAAACCGACGAUGGAUAGGGGUUCUGAGAGGAAGGUCCCCCACAUUGGUACUGAGACACGGACCAA